rnacentral:rRNA from 1 species
AUGGCUCUCCCGGCGUCCAGCUCCACCCUCUCCCGCUUCCUCUCCUCCCGCCGCAUCCAGCCCACGGACGUCACCGCCCUCGCCACCUGGGGCAUCUUCGCCGGCAGCGCCGCCAUCUACCUCGUCCAGCCAUUCGACUGGAUCAAGAAAACCUUCUUUGAGAAGCCCGAGCCAGAGGCAUGA